rnacentral:tRNA from 1 species
GGGGUUGUGGCUCAGUGGUAGAGUGUCGCCUAGCAUGUGUGAGAUACUGGGUUCAAUCCUCAGCACCACA